UGGAAGUACUUAGUGACCUUGGUGAGUUUC
rnacentral:piRNA from 1 species